AUAUAAACAGCGUUUGCAGAGGGGCGCGGGGAGGAGGGGGAGCUGCCUCAGCUUGGCAGGUCCUGGAGUUAUAGCUGCCUUUUUUUUUUUUUUUUUUUUUUUUUUUCUGUAUUUUGUUUCUAAUUUCCAGAGGAAAUUUAAUUUCGGGAAAAAGUGGCGCAAAGCUCCGAGCCGGAGGAAAACCGCAGCUGACGAAGGGGGGUCCGGAGAAAGACGCGAGGCGAAAGGAAGAGCGAAGGGCUGUACUUACAGUGGCACUGGGCUGGGCACGAGGGCGCCGCACCUGGCUCCGCGGCCACCGCUUGGAAGCGGGCAGAGGAGGCCAGGAGGACGCCCCAGAAGAGCUGCUCCAUCCUCGCCGGGCUGCAGCGGUGGGGAGCGUGCGAGGAGCCGCGGGCUCGCCCCGUCCCCGGGCUGGGCUGCACCCAGGGGAGCUCCCAGGUCCCUCACUGGCAGCGGGCACCGUGCCUCCCGCGGUUCGGAGAGGAGUAAGGAUGCAGGCAGGGAAGGGAAGGCAUUGUUGAAUGAUCUUGGUUAUUGGGUUUCAAGGGCUGGGCAGGGGCGUGAGACACUCCAAUGGGAGGAGUUAAACUUUCUACUCUUUCCCUCUCUCUCUCUCUCUUAGAGCUGGCAGGAAUUUCAUUCAAAGGGAAGAAAGGAGAAAAAAAAAAAAAAAAAAAAAAAAAAAGAAAGAAAAAGAAA